GAACGGGUGAGUAACACGUGGGUGAUCUGCCCUGUACUCUGGGAUAAGCCUGGGAAACUGGGUCUAAUACCGGAUAGGACUACGAAUCGCAUGGUUUGUGGUGGAAAGCUUCUGCGGUGUGGGAUGGGCCCGCGGCCUAUCAGCUUGUA
rnacentral:rRNA from 1 species